rnacentral:rRNA from 1 species
GUACACUCUGCGGGAGGCAGCAGUGGGGAAUAUUGGACAAUGGGCGCAAGCCUGAUCCAGCCAUGCCGCGUGAGUGAUGAAGGCCCUAGGGUUGUAAAGCUCUUUCACCGGUGAAGAUAAUGACGGUAACCGGAGAAGAAGCCCCGGCUAACUUCGUGCCAGCAGCCGCGGUAAUACGAAGGGGGCUAGCGUUGUUCGGAUUUACUGGGCGUAAAGCGCACGUAGGCGGACUAUUAAGUCAGGGGUGAAAUCCCGGGGCUCAACCCCGGAACUGCCUUUGAUACUGGUAGUCUUGAGUUCGAGAGAGGUGAGUGGAAUUCCGAGUGUAGAGGUGAAAUUCGUAGAUAUUCGGAGGAACACCAGUGGCGAAGGCGGCUCACUGGCUCGAUACUGACGCUGAGGUGCGAAAGCGUGGGGAGCAAACAGGAUUAGAUACCCGGGUAGUCCCAUGAU